rnacentral:rRNA from 1 species
AUUGAACGCUGGCGGCAGGCCUAACACAUGCAAGUCGAGCGGAUGAAGGGAGCUUGCUCCUGGAUUCAGCGGCGGACGGGUGAGUAAUGCCUAGGAAUCUGCCUGGUAGUGGGGGAUAACGUCCGGAAACGGGCGCUAAUACCGCAUACGUCCUGAGGGAGAAAGUGGGGGAUCUUCGGACCUCACGCUAUCAGAUGAGCCUAGGUCGGAUUAGCUAGUUGGUGGGGUAAAGGCCUACCAAGGCGACGAUCCGUAACUGGUCUGAGAGGAUGAUCAGUCACACUGGAACUGAGACACGGUACAGACUCCUACGGGAGGCAGCAGUGGGGAAUAUUGGACAAUGGGCGAAAGCCUGAUCCAGCCAUGCCGCGUGUGUGAAGAAGGUCUUAGGAUUGUAAAGCACUUUAAGUUGGGAGGAAGGGCAGUAAGUUAAUACCUUGCUGUUUUGACGUUACCAACAGAAUAAGCACCGGCUAACUUCGUG